rnacentral:rRNA from 1 species
ACACUCCUGCGGGAGGCAGCAGUGGGGAAUAUUGGACAAUGGGCGCAAGCCUGAUCCAGCCAUGCCGCGUGAGUGAUGAAGGCCCUAGGGUUGUAAAGCUCUUUCACCGGAGAAGAUAAUGACGGUAUCCGGAGAAGAAGCCCCGGCUAACUUCGUGCCAGCAGCCGCGGUAAUACGAAGGGGGCUAGCGUUGUUCGGAAUUACUGGGCGUAAAGCGCACGUAGGCGGAUCGAUCAGUCAGGGGUGAAAUCCCAGGGCUCAACCCUGGAACUGCCUUUGAUACUGUCGAUCUGGAGUAUGGAAGAGGUGAGUGGAAUUCCGAGUGUAGAGGUGAAAUUCGUAGAUAUUCGGAGGAACACCAGUGGCGAAGGCGGCUCACUGGUCCAUUACUGACGCUGAGGUGCGAAAGCGUGGGGAGCAAACAGGAUUAGAAACCCCAGUAGUCCCAUG